rnacentral:misc_RNA from 1 species
AACAAAAUAACCUGUUCCAAUUGUGCUCACUAUCGCUGCAAAUGUUCCCGCAGAAUUUGCAAUUCCUGCAUCACAGAUAAUUCAAAUGGAGAAGGUCACUUAAUAUUCUUCUAUUUGGUUGUAUAGAUGGGCAAGAAAUCAAGGACUUACCAUGGAGGAAUCCUGCAUAUUGAGGUGCUAUGUCUUGCAUAUUGAGAAGAAAGCCAGCUUGGCUGAAA